UUCCUGGCAGAAAAACUAAGUCCAUUUAUAAGUAAAAUACGGAAAAAAUGGAAUUUUAUUUUUACAAAAUUUACUUCUGCAUACUAUCUUAUGAACAUAAACAAGCUUCUGUCCAAGUUUGGUAGAAAUCCAGUUUAGUUUAAGAAAGUUAUUAAAAUUUCAAAAACUUUAACCACAGAGUGAAUAUUUGUUGACGCCGCCGACGACGCCG
rnacentral:lncRNA from 1 species